rnacentral:rRNA from 1 species
AGAGUUUGAUCCUGGCUCAGGAUGAACGCUGGCGGCGUGCUUAACACAUGCAAGUCGAACGAAGCACUCUAUUUGAUUUCCUUCGGGAUUGAUUAUUUUGUGACUGAGUGGCGGACGGGUGAGUAACGCGUGGGCAACCUGCCUUGUACAGGGGGAUAACAGUUGGAAACGGCUGCUAAUACCGCAUAAGCGCACAGUACCGCAUGGUAUAGUGUGAAAAACUCCGGUGGUAUAAGAUGGACCCGCGUUUGAUUAGCUAGUUGGUGGGGUAACGGCCUACCAAGGCGACGAUCAAUAGCCGACCUGAGAGGGUGACCGGCCACAUUGGGACUGAGACACGGCCCAAACUCCUACGGGAGGCAGCAGUGGGGAAUAUUGCACAAUGGGCGAAAGCCUGAUGCAGCGACGCCGCGUGAGCGAAGAAGUAUUUCGGUAUGUAAAGCUCUAUCAGCAGGGAAGAUAAUGACGGUACCUGACUAAGAAGCACCGGCUAAAUACGUGCCAGCAGCCGCGGUAAUACGUAUGGUGCAAGCGUUAUCCGGAUUUACUGGGUGUAAAGGGAGCGCAGGCGGUGCGGCAAGUCUGAUGUGAAAGCCCGGGGCUCAACCCCGGUACUGCAUUGGAAACUGUCGUACUAGAGUGUCGGAGGGGUAAGCGGAAUUCCUAGUGUAGCGGUGAAAUGCGUAGAUAUUAGGAGGAACACCAGUGGCGAAGGCGGCUUACUGGACGAUAACUGACGCUGAGGCUCGAAAGCGUGGGGAGCAAACAGGAUUAGAUACCCUGGUAGUACACGCCGUAAACGAUGAAUACUAGGUGUCGGGAGGCAUUGCCUUUCGGUGCCGUCGCAAACGCAGUAAGUAUUCCACCUGGGGAGUACGUUCGCAAGAAUGAAACUCAAAGGAAUUGACGGGGACCCGCACAAGCGGUGGGGCAUGUGGUUUAAUUCGAAGCAACGCGAAGAACCUUACCAAGUCUUGACAUCCUUCUGACCGGUACUUAAUCGUACCUUCUCUUCGGAGCAGGAGUGACAGGUGGUGCAUGGUUGUCGUCAGCUCGUGUCGUGAGAUGUUGGGUUAAGUCCCGCAACGAGCGCAACCCUUAUCUUUAGUAGCCAGCGGUUUGGCCGGGCACUCUAGAGAGACUGCCAGGGAUAACCUGGAGGAAGGCGGGGAUGACGUCAAAUCAUCAUGCCCCUUAUGACUUGGGCUACACACGUGCUACAAUGGCGUAAACAAAGGGAAGCAAAGCUGUGAAGCCGAGCAAAUCUCAAAAAUAACGUCUCAGUUCGGACUGUAGUCUGCAACCCGACUACACGAAGCUGGAAUCGCUAGUAAUCGCAGAUCAGAAUGCUGCGGUGAAUACGUUCCCGGGUCUUGUACACACCGCCC